rnacentral:rRNA from 1 species
CCCCUUAGAUGUUCUGGGCCGCACGCGCGCUACAAUGAUGAAUUCAACGAGUUUAUAACCUUGGUUGAAAAGCCUGGGUAAUCUUUUGAACUUUCGUCGUGAUGGGGCUAGACCCUUGCAAUUAUUGGUCUCCAACGAGGAAUUCCUAGUAAACGCAAGUCAUCAGCUUGCAUUGAUUACGUCCCUGCCCUUUGUACACACCGCCCGUCGCACCUACCGAUUGAAUGGUCCGGUGAAAUCUUCGGAUUGAGACUUUGAUUUCUUCACGGAAAACGCUGUUUUAAAAAGUUGAUUAAACCUUACCAUUUAGAGGAAGGUGAAGUCGUAACA